rnacentral:rRNA from 1 species
UACGGAGGGUGCAAGCGUUAUCCGGAUUCACUGGGUUUAAAGGGUGCGUAGGCGGGUUGGUAAGUCAGUGGUGAAAUCUCCAGGCUUAACUUGGAAACUGCCAUUGAUACUAUCAAUCUUGAAUACCGUGGAGGUCAGCGGAAUAUGUCAUGUAGCGGUGAAAUGCUUAGAUAUGACAUAGAACACCAAUUGCGAAGGCAGCUGGCUACACGAAUAUUGACACUGAUGCACGAAAGCGUGGGGAUCAAACAGG